GUUUAUUUUUUAUCUUUUCAUAUGCAUAUUUUUUCUUCCUAUCGUUUUGUAUCAAGGUGAAAAACAAUUUCAUAUAAAACCUUUUCUAGAACCAAACAAUCCUCCUUCUCCAGAAAUGGAACCAUUUAAACAUCAUAGGAUUUUGCUAAUGCAUCAGGCUUUUAGUAAUAAGAGCAGUAAGGAUAUAUAUUUGUAAUAUUCUUGCUCUUUAAAACAACAAUGGUGUGUGCGCAAGGUAUCUCGUCUAAUUGAAAUAUUCCACAAGUGCAUACUUUCCGCUCAAGGGACUACCACCUCAUUUUGACAUGUGGCGUCACUUUGUUGGUUACGGAUGACUAGUAACUGUGACACGUGGCAUGGGUUUGGGCUUCAAGGUGAAAUGGACCUUGGAUUUGAAUUAAAUAGAUAGACUUAAUCAUUUGUAAAGCCCAAAUUAAUUAUUCUUCCUAAAUUAAAAUGUAUUUAUAUCAAA